GCGGCCGACAGACAGAGUGGGUCAUAGUGGCAGCCCGCCGCGCAGCUCAGCCCUGGGGGUCCAACCCUGACUCAGGCGGCAGACCACCACAAUGGUGAAAGUGGCAGCCCGCUGCGCUGCCCAGCCCGGGCGGGCCCCCCUCUACUCAGGCGGCCGACAGCCAGACUGGGUCAAAGUGGCAGCCCGCCAUGCUGCUCACCCCUGGCGGCCACCGCCAACUCAGGUGGCCCACCGCCAGAGUGGGUCAAACUGGCAGCCUGCCGCGCUGCUCAGCACUGGGGGCCCCACUCCCACUCAGGCGGCCGACCGCCCGAGUGGGUUAAAGUCGCAGCCCGCAGCGCUGCUCAGCCCUGGGGGCGCCCCACGUAGUCUGGCGACCGAUCGCCACAGUGGCUCAUAGUGGCAGCCCACCGCGCUGCUCAGCCCUGGGGUCCCCGCCCCCCACUAAGGCGGCCGACCGCCAGAGUGGGUCAAAGUGGCAGCCCACGGCGCUGCUCAGCCCUGGGGGUCCCACGCCCACUCAGGCGGCCGACCGCCAGAGUGGGUCAAAGUGGCAGCCCGCCGCGCAGCUCAGUCCGGGCGGGCCCCCCUCUACUCAGGCGGCCGACAGAAAGACUGGGUCAAAUUGGCAGCCCGCCGCACUGCUCAGCCCUGGAGGCCCCCCCCUCCCCACUCUGGCUGCCGACCACCAGAGUGGGUCAAUGUGGCAGCCCGCCGCGCAGCUCAGCCCUGGCUGCCCCACCCUGACUGAGGCGGCCGACCGCCAGAGUGGGUCAAAGUGGCAGCCCGCCGCGCAGCUCAGCCCUGGCUGCCCCACCCUGACUGAGGUGGCAGACCGCCAUAGUGGGUCAAAGGGGCAGCCCGCCACGCUGCUCAGCCCUGGGGGACCUCUCCACACUCAGGCGGCCGACCGCCAGAGUGGGUCAAAGUAGCUGCCCGCCGCGCUGCUCAGCCCUGGCUGCCCCACCCUGACUGAGGUGGCAGACCGCCAUAGUGGGUCAAAGGGGCAGCCCGCCACGCUGCUCAGCCCUAGGGGCGCCCCACACACUCUGGUGUCCGACUGCCAGAGUGGCCCAAAUUGGCAGCCCGCAGCGCUGCACAGCCCUGGGGGCCCUCCUCCCACUCAUGCGGCCGACCGCCAGUGUGGGUCAAAGUGGCAGCCCGCCGCGCUGCUCAGCCUUGGGGUCCCUCACCCCACUCAGGCGGCCGACAGACAGAGUGGGUCAUAGUGGCAGCCCGCCGCGCUGCUCAGCCCGGGCGGGCCCCUCUCUACUCAGAUGGCCGACAGCCAGACUGGGUCAAAGUGGCAGCCUGCCGCGCUGCUCAGACCUGGGGGACCCACCCCCACUCAGGCGGCGGACCACCAGAGUGGGUCAAAGUGGCAACCCGCAGCGCAGCUCAGCCCUGGGCGCCCCACCUUGUCUCAGGCGGCAGACCGCCAGUGUGGGUCAAAGUGGCAGCCCGCCGCGCUGCUCAGCCCUGGGGUCCCUCACCCCACUCAUGCGGCCGACAGCCAGAGUGGGUCAAAGUGGCAACCCGCCGCGCAGCUCAGCCCUGGGGGACACAACCUGACUCAGGUUGCAGACCGCCAGAGUGGGUCAAAGUGGCAGCCCGCCGCGCUGCUCAGCCCUGGUGGCCACACCCCACUCAGGCGGCCCACCGCCAGAGUGGGUCAAAGUGUCAGCCCACCGUGCUGCUCAGCCCUGGGAUCCCUCACCCCACUCAGGCGGCCCACCGCCAGAGUGGGUCAAAGUGUUAGCACGCAUUGCUGCUCAGCCCCUGGGGACCUCCCCCACACUCAGGUGCCCAACCAGCAGAGUGGGACAAAGUGGCAGCCCACAGCGCUGCUCAGCCCUGGGGGCCCUCCCCCCACUCAGGCGGCCGACCGCCCGAGUGGGUCAAAGUCGCAGCCCGCAGCACUGCUCAGCCCUGGGGGCGCCCCACGUAGUCUGGCGGCCGAUCGCCACAGUGGCUCAUAGUGGCAGCCCACCACGCAGCUCAGCCCUGGGGGUCCCACGCCCACUCAGGCGGCCGACCGCCAGAGUGGGUCAAAGUGGCAGCCCGCCGCGCAGCUCAGUCCGGGCGGGCCCCCCUCUACUCAGGCGGCCGACAGAAAGACUGGGUCAAAUUGGCAGCCCACCGCACUGCUCAGCCCUGGAGGCCCCCCCCCCACUCUGGCUGCCGACCGCCAGAGUGGGUCAAAGAGGCACCCCGCCGCGCUGCUCAGCCCUGGGGCCCUCCCUCCCACUGAAGCGGCCGACCGCCAGAGUGGGUCAAAGUGGCAGCCCGCUGUGCUGCUCAGCCCUGGAGGCCCCAACCCCUAUCAUGCGGCAGACGGUCAGAG
rnacentral:lncRNA from 1 species